CUGCGGCGGACGAAGCAUCCGGGUCCGCUGCGCGAGUAAAACUCACCGUAAAUACUCCCUCCUGCGCUGAACACGCCGCUUAAGUGAAGGAGUGAAAAUGUCCACUUGUCGGUCAUGUCACACAGUUGCAGGGGCUGAGGCCUGAGUGCCCCGCCAUUAUGCUCCAGAGGCUUUUUGUCUUCCGCACUCUCCGAGAAGAAAGAACGGGUCAAGUGAGGCUUUGUGGAAGGAUAUUUACAGUUAGAGGGCACGCAGCAGCAGCAUGGCAGGCGUGCAGCGAGGAAUCUCCCGCUGGGCUCAGUGUACGAAUGGUGGCACACAACCUGCCACAUGAACAGCGCAGGUUUUUACCUCGAGGGGAAAAAGGCUUA